CUCCCUGUAGGUCAGUUGGUAGAGCAUGGUGUUUGCAACGCCAGGGUUGUGGGUUCGAUUCCCACGGGGGGC
rnacentral:tRNA from 1 species